UCCAUUUGGUCCUUACUUGAUUCAAUCAGGGGAUUGAAUCAAGGGUGUAAAGGUUUGUUGAUGAGCCUAGGUUGAAACCAACGUGUAAGGGUUUGAUUGUGAUCCCGGAAAAACAAUCGGGUGGUUCUAAUCGGUGAGCCUGGAAAAACCGACCGAGUUCGUUGUGAUCUCGUAAAACAACAAGUUGGGUUGUGAGCUUGUAAAACAACCGGCUGUAAUCCGAGGGGUUAUAGUGAAUUCCCAAGUGAGGCUUGGAGAGUGGACGUAGGAGCAAGGAUUAGCUCCGAACCACUAUAAAAUCAUUGUGUUUGUGAUUGCCUUGUCAUCUUUUACUUUCAUUUCAUUCACUGCACAUAGCAUCUAAUUAAUCAACUUGCAAAAAGUAUUAAUUAGUAUUUCACAAACCAUUUAAUUGCAAUAAUUAUUUUAAAACCCAAUUCACCCCCUCCCCCCCCCCCUCUUGGGUUGUCUAUCUGGGCAACAUGGUUGCGUACCUUUCUGCCAUUGAUGCCAUGAAGAAGUUCCACAGUUAAAAGAUGCCAGCUUUCUAGCCACAGAUAUAGAGCUUCUGUUCAAAAAGACUGGCAUCCUUACAUAAGAUAGCUUGUCAAAAGAAACGCAGCACACGAGUGGGUACACUGGCACAGGAACCUCAAAUUAGAAAAUCCCAGCUUGUAGAGUGGUGUCAUUCAGGCCCCAAUUGGCAGAGAGGGUUACACUCAAAUUGGAUGUCGAGACGAUGGACACAAUUUUGGUAGGAUUUCAUGCUAGUGGCUGGAUGGGCUCAGGAUGAUCGAUCGUUACAAACACUUGUUGUGUGCGUUGGCAAAUAACUCCUUGCUAAAUAAGUGAAAUUUCACAGGAUAUGGUGAGCGUUAGAGAGGAUGCACGGCUUCUAAAAGACAAUUAAGCAUAAGCAUGUUUCUAACCUGAGGUUGUCAUCCUCAAGAGCAGAAAAAUUUCAUGUGUGCGGAGCACAAACUAAAGCAAUGCGUAUGUGCUGGUGAACUGGAUUGCAAGCUUUAACUGGCCACAGGAGCCUCAAAACAGAGUAAGAAGCUGGGAGAUAACUUCCAUGAAGGCAAGAAAGAUGAUAAAGACCUCACUUUAAUUAAAUAAUUAACAUUCUUCCACAAAAAAAAAAACUAACAUGCAAACUUGCCUACGAUUUAACUCAUACUUAAUAUGAGACUGGACAUUGCUAAUUAAAUUCCAAACUACCAGAUGAGAAUAU
rnacentral:lncRNA from 1 species